UCCUUAGAUGAGAAGAAAUCCAAUUAAUUAAAACAUUUUAAUGAGUUUGUUUUCACUUUUCUGCCCUUUUAGCAAUCGAAAAUGAUGCUUAAUAUGUCACAGCUUAUGAUUGUGACCCCCUGUGGACAAUUUCUGGAGCAGGACCUUGCAUUUGCAGGCUGAAGUGGGACCCAAGAAGGCAGUUGGAGGAGCAGAGAGAUGCCAGAAUACAGUAAAGAAAGUGUUACCAUAUUCUGUUAUUAAAGAAGACAUUGGGUCUACCGGAGUUGAGAAUUACGAAGAUAUAACAUGAAGUCAUAUAGAAAUCAUACAGCAAUAGAUCCAGAUGCAGAUCAAAGCAGAAAACAGACAAU
rnacentral:lncRNA from 1 species